GAUUAUGAUUACAGUAAAUCAAAUUACAUAUUACUACCUUAAUGGGUUUCAAUUCUGAUUAAUAUUGUUUUCAUUCUGAGUAAUUCUUAGAAUUCGUUUUCAUAAAUUUUUUCAAGUCGAUCGAUAUAUUUCCUCCAGCAAUGCCUGUAAAUUAUAUAUGAAUUGAAGCUUCAAUUUUUAACUGUUUCUUUGGUUCAUUUUCUCAUUAUUGUUUACAAAUGGCAUCAAGCAAUUCAAGACUGGCUUUCGGAUUCAAGUCAAAAUCGUCCAAUCUUUGAGACAGUACACUUCUUGCUCAGUAAAUAUGCGAAUGAGAUCUAACCAAAGAGACGGACAAACAGAGAAACAUCAUGUACGCUGGAUUAAACUGCACUUUCAUGGAAUCUUCUUACUCAGAUUGGAGAUGAAGUUAUCAACAAUAAUUUAACAUGGGACGAUCAUACGCUGGAACUUAUGAAGCUGUUGUUUCUUCACAGUCGCAUGGAUCAAAGUACCCUAAAGAGAAAAGGAAAACAUAUUCAUAGUAAGUGACUAAAUAAUUCGACUAAAUAUUUCGAAUAUAAAGGUAUGAACUUUAUGUGUAUUGUUGGUAAGCUUACCGAGACAUCAGCUAGGACCAUCUCUAGGGUCUCACCAGAGUAGCUGGUAUAUUGCUGCCAGCUAUGGAUGAUUUUGACUUGGACCUUCCAAACAGUCUUGAAAGUUUUGAUGUCAGCAAGAUCAGUUACUUCUAAGUUGGCAGCCAUUUCGUAAGAGUAUGUGAGAAUCACUGGAAAAAUUUGUUGGAAGGCUUGCGCUUUAACGGAUUUCGUUAUUUGGGAUUACAUUCGGAUUUUGUUCGAGCAAUUAGAGGGAGAGCUGACAGCUAGGAUUUAUUGUAGUUGUCUCAUUUGGAUCACCCAAGUAUAGUUAUCGGAUCCGAAAUAGUUAAUUUCGGGUUAAUUUUAGUUUUAACCCGACCCGGAAGUAAUUUUGUACUCCUCUUUUACUAAUA